rnacentral:rRNA from 1 species
GCAGCUGCGGUAAUUCCAGCUCCAAUAGCGUAUAUUAAAGUUGUUGCAGUUAAAAAGCUCGUAGUUGGAUUUCUGGGAGGGUGCCGAUGUCCACUUAACGUGUGCGCAGCGGCGCCCUCUCAUCCUUCUGUUAGCGUCUCUUGGCAUUCAUUUGCUGGUGGCGGGCUCAGAUAUUUUACCUUGAGAAAAUUAGAGUGUUUCAGGCAGGCUAGGCCGGAAUACAUUAGCAUGGAAUAAUGGAAUAGGACUACGGUCUCUUUGUUGGUUUGAGGGACUGCAGUAAUGAUUAAUAGGGAUAGUUGGGGGCAUUAGUACUUAACUGUCAGAGGUGGAAUUCUCAGAUUUGUUAAAGACUGACUUAUGCGAAAGCAUUUGCCAAGGAUGUUUUCAUUAAUCAAGAACGAAAGU